rnacentral:tRNA from 1 species
AUAUUAGUGUCAGAGGUUAUGAGUUGAUUUUAAGCGUCAAAUACAAAGUUUAAAACUUUCUAAUAUU